AGAAAAUGUAUUUAUUAUUGAAUUAUUAUUAGUUAUGUUCUUGAAAGUUAAAGAAUUUGGCGGUAUUUUAGUCUUUUCAGAGGAACCUGUUCUGUAAUUGAUAUUCCACGAUUUAGUUUAUUUAAAUUAGAAAUUUAUAUAUCGUCGUUAAGAAAAUUUUAAUAGAAAUUAAUUUUCGUUAAAUUUAAUUUGAUUUUAAAUCAGAUCAAGAUGUAGUUUAUAUUUAAAUAGAAAUGGGUUACUUUAGGUUAAAUUGUGAUUUUAAAUUGGAAAUUUAAUUGACUAUGGAUUUGAAAGUAAUUUUUAUGUUUAAUUUUAAUGAUUAUAGUUCUAAAAUGUGU
rnacentral:rRNA from 1 species